UACAGAGGUCUCAAGCGUUGUUCGGAUUCAUUGGGCGUAAAGGGUGCGUAGGUGGCCGGGUAAGUUCGGUGUGAAAUCUCGGAGCUCAACUCCGAAAUGGCAUUGAAUACUAUCCGGCUCGAGGGUCGGAGGGGAGACUGGAAUUCUCGGUGUAGCAGUGAAAUGCGUAGAUAUCGAGAGGAACACCAGUGGCGAAGGCGAGUCUCUGGACGACUCCUGACACUGAGGCACGAAAGCCAGGGGAGCAAACAGG
rnacentral:rRNA from 1 species